AUAUAUCAUAAGUUUAUAAUUUAUUGAUUUUGUAAAUCAAUGCUGUAAUAAA
rnacentral:tRNA from 1 species